rnacentral:rRNA from 1 species
GGUUAAGCGACUAAGCGUACACGGUGGAUGCCCUGGCAGUCAGAGGCGAUGAAGGACGUGCUAAUCUGCGAAAAGCGCCGGCGAGGUGAUAUGAACCUUUGACCCGGCGAUGUCCGAAUGGGGAAACCCAGUGCAAUCCGUUGCACUAUCGUUAACUGAAUACAUAGGUUAACGAGGCGAACCGGGGGAACUGAAACAUCUAAGUACCCCGAGGAAAAGAAAUCAACCGAGAUUCCCCCAGUAGCGGCGAGCGAACGGGGAGCAGCCCGGAGUCUGAAUCAGCUUGUGUGUUAGUGGAACGGUCUGGAAAGUCCGACGGUACAGGGUGAUAGUCCCGUACACGAAAGCACACAUGCUGUGAACUCGAAGAGUAGGGCGGGACACGUGGUAUCCUGUCUGAAUAUGGGGGGACCAUCCUCCAAGGCUAAAUACUCCUGACUGACCGAUAGUGAACCAGUACCGUGAGGGAAAGGCGAAAAGAACCCCGGCGAGGGGAGUGAAAAAGAACCUGAAACCGUGUACGUACAAGCAGUGGGAGCCUCUUUAUGGGGUGACUGCGUACCUUUUGUAUAAUGGGUCAGCGACUUAUAUUCUGUAGCAAGGUUAACCGUAUAGGGGAGCCGAAGGGAAACCGAGUCUUAACUGGGCGUUAAGUUGCAGGGUAUAGACCCGAAACCCGGUGAUCUAGCCAUGGGCAGGUUGAAGGUUGGGUAACACUAACUGGAGGACCGAACCGACUAAUGUUGAAAAAUUAGCGGAUGACCUGUGGCUGGGGGUGAAAGGCCAAUCAAACCGGGAGAUAGCUGGUUCUCCCCGAAAGCUAUUUAGGUAGCGCCUCGUGAACUCAUCUUCGGGGGUAGAGCACUGUUUCGGCUAGGGGGCCAUCCCGGCUUACCAACCCGAUGCAAACUACGAAUACCGAAGAAUGUUAUCACGGGAGACACACGGCGGGUGCUAACGUCCGUCGUGAAGAGGGAAACAACCCAGACCGCCAGCUAAGGUCCCAAAGUCAUGGUUAAGUGGGAAACGAUGUGGGAAGGCACAGACAGCCAGGAUGUUGGCUUAGAAGCAGCCAUCAUUUAAAGAAAGCGUAAUAGCUCACUGGUCGAGUCGGCCUGCGCGGAAGAUGUAACGGGGCUAAACCAUGCACCGAAGCUGCGGCAGCGACACUAUGUGUUGUUGGGUAGGGGAGCGUUCUGUAAGCCGUUGAAGGUGUCCUGUGAGGGGUGCUGGAGGUAUCAGAAGUGCGAAUGCUGACAUAAGUAACGAUAAAGCGGGUGAAAAGCCCGCUCGCCGGAAGACCAAGGGUUCCUGUCCAACGUUAAUCGGGGCAGGGUGAGUCGACCCCUAAGGCGAGGCCGAAAGGCGUAGUCGAUGGGAAACAGGUUAAUAUUCCUGUACUUGGUGUUACUGCGAAGGGGGGACGGAGAAGGCUAUGUCAGCCGGGCGACGGUUGUCCCGGUUUAAGCAUGUAGGCGGAGGUUCCAGGUAAAUCCGGUACCUUGUUAACGCUGAGGUGUGAUGACGAGGCACUACGGUGCUGAAGUGAUAAAUGCCCUGCUUCCAGGAAAAGCCUCUAAGCAUCAGGUAACACGAAAUCGUACCCCAAACCGACACAGGUGGUCAGGUAGAGAAUACCAAGGCGCUUGAGAGAACUCGGGUGAAGGAACUAGGCAAAAUGGUGCCGUAACUUCGGGAGAAGGCACGCUGAUGUGUAGGUGAAGUCCCUGCGGACGGAGCUGAAAUCAGUCGAAGAUACCAGCUGGCUGCAACUGUUUAUUAAAAACACAGCACUGUGCAAACACGAAAGUGGACGUAUACGGUGUGACGCCUGCCCGGUGCCGGAAGGUUAAUUGAUGGGGUUAGCGGCAACGCGAAGCUCUUGAUCGAAGCCCCGGUAAACGGCGGCCGUAACUAUAACGGUCCUAAGGUAGCGAAAUUCCUUGUCGGGUAAGUUCCGACCUGCACGAAUGGCGUAAUGAUGGCCAGGCUGUCUCCACCCGAGACUCAGUGAAAUUGAACUCGCUGUGAAGAUGCAGUGUACCCGCGGCAAGACGGAAAGACCCCGUGAACCUUUACUAUAGCUUGACACUGAACACUGGUCCUUGAUGUGUAGGAUAGGUGGGAGGCUUUGAAGCGUGGACGCCAGUCUGCGUGGAGCCAACCUUGAAAUACCACCCUUUAAUGGCUGGUGUUCUAACGUAGACCCGUAAUCCGGGUUGCGGACAGUGUCUGGUGGGUAGUUUGACUGGGGCGGUCUCCUCCCAAAGAGUAACGGAGGAGCACGAAGGUUGGCUAAUCCUGGUCGGACAUCAGGAGGUUAGUGCAAUGGCAUAAGCCAGCUUGACUGCGAGCGUGACGGCGCGAGCAGGUGCGAAAGCAGGUCAUAGUGAUCCGGUGGUUCUGAAUGGAAGGGCCAUCGCUCAACGGAUAAAAGGUACUCCGGGGAUAACAGGCUGAUACCGCCCAAGAGUUCAUAUCGACGGCGGUGUUUGGCACCUCGAUGUCGGCUCAUCACAUCCUGGGGCUGAAGUAGGUCCCAAGGGUAUGGCUGUUCGCCAUUUAAAGUGGUACGCGAGCUGGGUUUAGAACGUCGUGAGACAGUUCGGUCCCUAUCUGCCGUGGGCGCUGGAGAAUUGAGGGGGGCUGCUCCUAGUACGAGAGGACCGGAGUGGACGCAUCACUGGUGUUCGGGUUGUCAUGCCAAUGGCACUGCCCGGUAGCUAAAUGCGGAAGAGAUAAGUGCUGAAAGCAUCUAAGCACGAAACUUGCCCCGAGAUGAGUUCUCCCUGAGACCUUGAGUCUCCUGAAGGAACGUUGAAGACGACGACGUUGAUAGGUCGGGUGUGUAAGCGCAGCGAUGCGUUGAGCUAACCGAUACUAAUGAACCGUGAGGCUUAACCUU